UAUCUCAUUAGGAUCCAUACAUUAUGUACACAGCUUAGUAGCUCAGCUUAAGGGGGCCGCUGGAGCUUGAAGAUAGAACGGAAAUGGUGUGUUUAGGAGGGAAAAUGGUGGGCCAGGUGGUGAAGUUUGGCGGGAACGGUUUCGGCCAGGUUCUGGCGGCGGCCGCGGUGGCUAUCUUGGUCCGAUUGUUUUCCGGUCCGGGCCCUGCUCUGUUACCGGAGGAUGAAUUUGCGGAUGAUGAGAAGAACGGCGUUCCCGGAGAUGAUAAAGCUGGCGAAGCUUCGGUCAAUGGGAAAGUUGUUCCGGUUACUAUCCGCUGGAACAACAUCACGUGUUCUUUCUCUGAUAAAUCCUCUAAACAAGUGCGGUUUCUGCUAAAAAAUGUGAGUGGAGAAGCAAAGCCUGGAAGAUUGCUUGCGAUAAUGGGGCCAUCAGGAUCAGGAAAAACGACUUUGCUCAAUGUUCUGGCGAGGCAGCUAAUGGCAUCACCUCGGCUGCAUUUAUCUGGUCUUUUGGAGGUCAAUGGGAUACCUAUUUCAAAUAUAGCUUACAAGUUUGCUUAUGUGAGACAGGAGGAUCUUCUCUUCUCGCAGCUGACAGUGAGGGAGACACUGUCCCUUGCUGCAGAACUUCAACUUCCAGAGAUAUCUUCGGUGGAGGAAAGAGAUGAGUUUGUGAACAAUUUGCUGUUCAAGCUAGGCCUGGUCAGCUGUGCUGAUUCCAUUGUUGGUGAUGCAAAAGUUCGUGGGAUAAGUGGUGGUGAAAAGAAACGAUUAUCGCUAGCAUGUGAACUUAUUGCCAGCCCAUCUGUCAUAUUUGCUGAUGAGCCCACAACAGGGCUUGAUGCUUUCCAGGCAGAGAGAGUGAUGGAAACUCUCCGACAACUUGCACAGGAUGGACAUACUGUAAUUUGUUCUAUUCACCAGCCCAGAGGUUCUGUGUACAGUAAAUUUGAUGACAUUGUUUUGCUAACAGAGGGUGCACUUGUUUAUGCUGGUCCUGCACAUGAUGAACCACUGGCAUACUUCACAAAGUUUGGGUAUCGUUGCUCAGAUCAUGUUAAUCCAGCUGAAUUUUUGGCUGAUCUCAUAUCUGUUGACUACAGUUCUGCUGAAAGUGUGUAUUCUUCCCGGAAAAGGAUAGAUGGCCUUGUUGAGUCAUUCUCAGAACAAUUAUCAACUGUGCUUUAUGCAACUCCCUUUGCCAGCAGGGAGAGCCCUAAGAAUGGCAAGAAGUUAAGCAAGAAAACUGUUGUAAAAAGGAAAGAGACUUGGUGGAGGCAGUUCUGGUUGCUCCUCAAACGUGCAUGGAUGCAAGCUUCUCGUGAUGGGCCAACAAACAAAGUUCGGGCAAGAAUGUCAAUUGCGUCAGCUAUAAUAUUUGGAUCAGUUUUCUGGAGAAUGGGAAGAUCUCAGACGUCCAUACAGGACAGGAUGGGAUUGCUCCAGGUUGCAGCAAUAAACACAGCAAUGGCUGCUCUCACAAAAACUGUGGGUGUGUUUCCCAAGGAACGUGCAAUUGUGGAUAGAGAGCGUGCAAAGGGAUCUUAUGCAUUAGGACCAUAUCUGCUUUCUAAAUUGAUAGCUGAGAUUCCUGUUGGAGCUGCAUUUCCAUUAAUGUUUGGUGCUUUAUUGUAUCCCAUGGCACGUCUCCAUCCCACUUUGUCUAGGUUUGGAAAGUUCUGUGGAAUUGUGACAGCAGAAUCAUUUGCUGCAUCUGCAAUGGGUCUAACUGUCGGAGCUAUGGCUCCAACCACUGAAGCAGCAAUGGCACUAGGACCAUCUCUUAUGACAGUUUUUAUUGUAUUUGGAGGGUAUUAUGUCAAUGCAGAUAAUACACCAAUCAUCUUCCGAUGGAUACCUAAUGUUUCUCUGAUAAGAUGGGCUUUUCAAGGGCUUUGUAUAAAUGAAUUUAGCGGACUUAAGUUUGAUCACCAGCAUUCAUUUGAUAUUGAAACUGGUGAACAGGCACUCGAGCGGCUCUCCUUUGGAGGAAGCCACAUUAAUGAUACUGUGAUAGCUCAAAGUAGAAUUUUGUUAUUUUGGUAUUGCACUACUUACCUUAUCCUCCAAAAAAACAAGCCCAAAUACCAACAGCUUGAGUCACUGCCUCUUGAACAAAUCCAACCACAGCUACAGCUUGAGCCCGUGGAACCUGACAAAGUCAAACAACUAAACCCUCCAAUGAAACAAGUCGAAUUGAACCAGCAGCUUGAAUCACCAGCUCUUGACCAAAUUCGACCAUUUAUCUUAGAAGGUUUGUAAUUAUUUGGGCAUUAAUGAUAUUGUUAUAAGAUGUGCCUGUAUUUAUUGAUUUAUCUGAUACAGGUGCUAAGUAAAGAUGUCUAUUGCAAUAAAGGAGGUAUCGUGCCUUUUCUGAGCUACUAUUAUAGAACAUGACAACAAUAAGUUGAUUUAUGUAUAUCUGAAACUGAAGCAGCUUAGAAAUCUCUCAGUGGAAUAUCAAAUUAUGUCAUCUGCCAGUAUAAUUGAAUGUUGGCACUCUGGUAUUAUCCUCUAUUGCUCCAAAUCAUAUUCAAGCAUAUGCGCUCCCUGGGUAAAGACAAUGACUUAGCAUGCAUAGAAAGACAUAAGAGCAUAACAAUGUGUAUUCUUUUACCCAGCAUGAGCAACCAUUUUCGUUGACGUCAGUCUGUUCUGCCAUUUUGAAUUUUUUAAUGCAUUGAUAGAACACCGACUCUUUUUGCAUUGUAAAGUUCUCACUUAAAACUAGCUUUGAUAACCAUUUGUGGUUUUGUAUCAGUAGAAAGGCGACAUGGAUAUAGCUUCCAAGAUAUGCUUGAUUUCCUUGUGACGCUUUCAACUGAAUGCUUUUCAUGUUGGGCGAGAGACAGAGAGUGUGUGUGUUUGAUUUCAAUCUUUUUCACUUUCGGCUGUUGCAAUGAGAACGAUGCUGGCAAAUUCAGUUCACCCUAAUAUUUACGUACACGUGGGAUGUGUUGAACAUGUCAUUUUCAUCAAUAUGUUUC
rnacentral:misc_RNA from 1 species